UUAAGAUGUGAUUUGACUAAUUUUUCUGAUUUAUUUUGUUUUUAGCACUGUAGAGGACUUUCAUCUUUCAGCUUCCUCGGCCCCGGGAGAGUUGGGUACCUGCUCAGCGGGGGCAUUUUCUCUAUACAAGAAGAAGACGGAGACUCGCUACCCACCCGAUAUAUUUUGUCGGACAGUUUUCUAUACAUAGCAGUCACAACUGUAUCCAGAUCACAUCAAAGGAAUGACAGUUUCUCACUCCCUGGAAUUCUACUUAAUGGAGGGAGGUGUCAUUAAUUAAGAUUGUCACAGCUUCCAAGACACUGGAGUGACAGGCCUAAAAUUUUAUACAUAUUCAUUGCACUGUAGAGGACUUUCAUCUUUCAGCUUCCUCGGCCCCGGGAGAGUUGGGUACCUGCUCAGCGGGGGCAUUUUCUCUAUACAAGAAGAAGACGGAGACUCGCUACCCACCCGAUAUAUUUUGUCGGACAGUUUUCUAUACAUAGCAGUCACAACUGUAUCCAGAUCACAUCAAAGGAAUGACAGUUUCUCACUCCCUGGAAUUCUACUGAAUGGAGGGAGGUGUCAUUAAUUAAGAUUGUCACAGCUUCCAAGACACUGGAGUGACAGGCCUAAAAUUUUAUACAUAUUCAUUGCACUGUAGAGGACUUUCAUCUUUCAGCUUCCUCGGCCCCGGGAGAGUUGGGUACCUGCUCAGCGGGGGCAUUUUCUCUAUACAAGAAGAAGACGGAGACUCGCUACCCACCCGAUAUAUUUUGUCGGACAGUUUUCUAUACA